AUUGCAGAAUAUGAGCAUGAGCUGACAAGCAGAAAUGAAAAAUUGCGCGAAUCGGAAGAAGAGAUUGCCAGGUUGAACAUCAAGAUCAAAAGGUACGAGUCUUCGCAACAUAAUAAUGGUCUUAAGCUUGCACUUGAACCAGAGUCUGCACAACAGAAUAAUGGUCUUAAGCUUGCACUUGAACCAGAGUCUGCACAACAUAAUAAUGGUCUUAAGCUUGCACUUGAACCAGAGCCUGCACAACAUAAUAAUGGUCUUAAGCUUGCACUUGAACCAGAGCCUGCACAACAUAAUAAUGGUCUUAAGCUUGCACUUGAAUUUUCAAAACCGAAAGAGGCCAAGAUACAUGAGGGUGCAAGAGACAGGGAGAUAAAUGAACCGUC
rnacentral:lncRNA from 1 species